rnacentral:rRNA from 1 species
UGGGGAAUUGUUCACAAUGGGCGCAAGCCUGAUGACGCAACGCCGCGUGGGGGAUGAAGGUCUUCGGAUCGUAAACCCCUGUCGAAUGGGACGAAAGACUCGCGAGUGAAUACUUCGCGAGAGUGACGGUACCGUUAAAGGAAGCCACGGCUAACUCUGUGCCAGCAGCCGCGGUAAUACAGAGGUGGCAAGCGUUGUUCGGAAUUACUGGGCGUAAAGGGCGCGUAGGCGGCCCUCUAAGUCAGACGUGAAAUCCCCGGCUUAACCUGGGAACUGCGUCUGAUACUGGAGGGCUUGAGUAUGGGAGAGGGAUGUAGAAUUCCAGGUGUAGCGGUGAAAUGCGUAGAUAUCUGGAGGAAUACCGGUGGCGAAGGCGGCAUCCUGGACCAUUACUGACGCUGAGGCGCGAAAGCUAGGGGAGCAAACGGGAUUAGAUACCCUCGUAGUCCCUGAGCGGGCUGGCAAGGCGCAU